AGGGUUUUAGUCACUGAUUUCCUUGGGAGUUUUGUGGGCUCUCCUCCUUGCACCACACGUAUGUGGGCACGCACAAAAACAACCACUGACACUGGUGGACGUGUCCCCCGUUUUAUGGCCCACUUUAUGGCCCACUGGACGUGUCCCCCGUUUUAUGGCCAAGGGUCUCGCCGUGCUGAAAGGAAGUCUGGUAAGAUGCAUGCUGUUACGCCUGGGAGUCCACACUGAACGUCAUGGCCUCUGCAAAGGCAAUCUGUGUCAAAACCAGCGAGCCAACCCACCUGACGCAAUCAACUCAACGACGUCGUCAAGCAGCGCCGCCGGUCUGGCUUACGCAACGCACCGCACGGCGAGCUCCCUCAACCCACGGGCCCGAUAGCAGUCCGACGAUGCAAGCGGCAUCAUCCAGUCUGGCGAGUCUUACGCAAUGCGUGGCAACAUCACUCGUGCUUGGGUGCAACCCGGCACAGCGGCUCCGAAUUUGAGAAUCAUCACGCCACCCAGCGGCGAGUCCCGAUUUGAGAAAGCUGACGCCCCCAGCAGUGGUUCCGAUAGGACGUUGUACACGUAAUGGAUAACCCGGGGUCAAGCGGCGCGUCGACAAGCAGGCAGCCGACGUAUACGUCAGAGAGAAGACAUCUCAGCUCUUUGAGUCCCAAGGCUGUCGGCCCCAGAGCCGAAUAUGUAACACCUCUAUUUAGAUGCUGUACAUAAACCUUGCCUUAACUCACUGUCGUCUUGUCCGCUCGUCUAUCAGCUCUGUGCAGAAGCAGUCGCGAGCUGAGGAACGUACGCUACCAGACGUCUGGUGACCUUGGCGGCCCGUGACCUCAGCGCACUAUAUAUGCAACAGUGUCGGCGAUGGUGCGAGUGGUGCCAGCGGCGAGUUGCGUUGCAGUGGCGCCUUCGGGUCCGUGUUGCCGUCGCGCCUGGUAACAGUGGAUGUCAGCUGCGGGAUCAGCCGGCGUCAGCGACAUCGAUGCGGUCGCGAGUGGGUUGUAAACGCCGACUGAAAAAUAUCUGCCUGGCCCUCUUUAAAGGCUCCCUUCCAGGCCAUUGGAAAAAGAACAAGGUCGUUCCACUCUUCAAAUAAGCUUUUCCCAGCAACAGAACAAUACAAGCCUCACAUCUUGGUGGUAAAAUGUCGCACACCGAAUGCGUAUUCACCGCCAAGAGCACGAGAACUGACCGAAAGAGAGAACUGAUCUAGCAGGAAUACUACUCCAUCGACUGUACAGUUGGUUUACACAAGGCCUUCUGCAAAUAGUUCUAUGCGAGCAAUGUUGCAUAAAAAUAUAGUGCAUUUAUACAACUGUGGAAUAAACAUAUAAAAUGAGAAAGCUUA